rnacentral:lncRNA from 1 species
GCAAAAAAACACCAAGUCCCAGAAUCCCUAGCGAAGGGGGGGGGGGGUGGGGCUCGGUCUGAAGUUACCACAACAGGAAGCGUCACUGUCGCUAAAAACAUUGGAGCAGGAAAAAAAGUGCAACAAAAACGCUGUCGAACACGAAGCUACAGGAAUGUUUUCCUAUUUUUAAGAAAAUGUGUUGAUUUGUGAGAUAAUAUAUAUUUUUAUUUUUAUAUAUAUAUAUAUAAUCCACAACUUGUCUUCAUUUGAUCGUCAUCCAUCUUGAAAACGGUCGAGUUUGCGUCACUAGCAGCCCUCGAUAGAUAGCUUUGUGUUGACCAAAAUGGAUGACAGCAAGAUGGUGGGAGGUAAAGUGAAGAAACCCGGUAAACGAGGCCGUAAACCCGCUAAAAUUGAUCUGAAAGCCAAGUUGGAGAGGAGUCGUCAGAGCGCCCGUGAGUGCCGAGCCAGGAAGAAACUCCGGUAUCAGUAUCUGGAGGAACUCGUGUCCAGCAAGGAGAGGGCCAUCUGCGCCCUGAGGGAAGAGUUGGAGAUGUACAAGCAGUGGUGUACAGCCAUGGACCAGGGGAAGAUCCCGUCUGAGAUAAAGGCUCUACUGACGGGAGACGAACAGAACUCCUCCACCAAGACCUCGAAGAACAGCAACCAGAGCUGAUGUGUUGGCGGCGCCACACCAGAACUAGUCCGACUGUCCGUUUUUUGUUUUGAGGUGACAGACCCGGGUGAUAUUCAUUAUGGGGGGAAAUUAUAUCAAACGUUGUGCAACAGAAAACAAGGGUGUUCGUGUGUAAUACCUACCAGCUCCCCACUUUUUUUAUUCGUCCUGUUUGCUUCCGUUUGUUGCCCUAGUGAAUAUGCCCCAGAGCGAGUCUGUCUGUCUGCUGGAAGGUUCCAGCGCUAGGCAGCAGGUACUCCGUCCAUCAUGCCAGAACGCUCCACUGUAUAAGGCCUCUGUGACGGAGAGUGAAGCGGUGUCUCACCGGUCUGUCUGUUUCAGCCCCCCCCCGUCCUCCGUCCUCUAGAGGAGACGUACAGCAACAGAACUGUCUGAGAUACAUAUCAUUACUAACGCUGGGGGGGGGGGACGACCUUCAGAGUAAUAGUUCAUAUUAUUUACAGUCGUAAUCCACCUGACUGGCCUGAUUUUUAUCAUGAGUGGUUCACUAUCGCAACACUCGGAUUCGUUAAUGUUAAUCAUGUCAAAUAUGUUAUUUAGUUACAGCUAUAGACCGCCUGUAUUUAGUUACAGCUAUAGACCGCCUGUAUUUAGUUACAGCUAUAGACAGCCUGUAUUUAGUUACAGCUAUAGACAGCCUGUAUUUAGUUACAGCUAUAGACAGCCUGUAUUUAGUUACAGCUAUAGACAGCCUGUAUUUAGUUACAGCUAUAGACAGCCUGUAUUUAGUUACAGCUAUAGACAGCCUGUAUUUAGUUACAGCUAUAGACAGCCUGUAUUUAGUUACAGCUAUAGACAGCCUGUAUUUAGUUACAGCUAUAGACAGCCUGUAUUUAGUUACAGCUAUAGACAGCCUGUAUUAUUGCACAGUUUUAUUUACAUUUCCUUGUCUCAAAUGUUUUAGCUUCUACGUGUGAGAAUCGAGGAAGCGUUUAAUGGUAUAUGGAUGUGAACCCAAGACGGAAGAAGUGAAAGGGUUUUAAGGCUGUGCAUUCAUCCAAAACAAAAGCAAUUACUCUUAUUUGACUUGUAUUGGUUAUGACUCCGUUUUGUAUCUGGAGCAGAACUAUGCCAACAUCCCAAAUGGCACUCCGUUCCCUAAAGUAGUGCACUAUGUAGGGAAUAGGGUCCCAUAGGGCCCUGGUCUAAAGUAGUGCACUAUGUAGGGAAUAGGGUCCCAUAGGGCCCUGGUCUAAAGUAGUGCACUAGAUAGGGCACCAUUGGGGAAAUGGAUCUGGUCUAAAGUAGUGCACUAGAUAGGGCACCAUUGGGGGACAUAGAUGUGGUCUAAAGUAGUGCACUAGAUAGGGCACCAUUGGGGGACAUAGAUGUGGUCUAAAGUAGUGCACUAGAUAGGGCACCAUUGGGGGACAUAGAUGUGGUCUAAAGUAGUGCACUAGAUAGGGCACCAUUGGGGGACAUAAAUGUGGUCUAAAGUAGUGCACUAGAUAGGGCACCAUUGGGGGACAUAGAUGUGGUCUAAAGUAGUGCACUAGAUAGGGCACCAUUGGGGACAUAGAUGUGGAAAUCUAUCCUGAAUCUACAGAGGUGAUGCUGUAACGACACACAGCACUAUAUGUUGAAUAUGUUGGAUUUAUUGUUUAUAUAUAUAUAUAUUUAUUAUUGGAUCACAGAAAGACCUCCCCCCCCCCCCCCUGGUUUUGUAGUGUGAUGUUAUAGAAGGUAUAAAAGGUCUGACGGGCAGAGAGAAAUGCUAUUUGUCAUUUUGUAAAGAUGUUCAAGUGUCUUGUUUGUGUGAAAGGCUAGAAUGGGGACACGUCCUUCCCAGAACAGAGCCGCCGCUGAAGCGUUGCUCAUCCUAGGUUGUAUCAUGUGGUGUCUAGUCGAGGUCUAGACUAGUUCACGUUCUCUCGCCGUAAUGCAGCCAAAAUACCUGGUCCUGCUUUGGUUUACAAAUGAUGAUUCUAUUGUCCUGAGGUAAUUUAAAUAAAUAAAGACUAAUUAAUAGACAUGAAUUCUGUCUGACACUCAUUAAUAUUCAUUAAUUCUGACACUCAUUAAUAUUCAUUCAUUCAUUCUGACACUCAUUAAUAUUCAUUCAUUCUGACACUCAUCAAUAUUCAUUCAUUCUGACACACAUCAAUAUUCA